rnacentral:lncRNA from 12 species
GGCGUGCUCGCUGCCAGCAAUCCUUAAUCCUCUUUGAACUCCUGACUGUACAUAUGGGAUGGCUGCUCCAUGGAGUAAUGGCUGUGUAUUACUGCCCAUUCACUAGUGGGUCACACACACAGUAGAAGGAUUUCUUUGAUUAAUGAAACGUGCUAAAAAUGAAAAUAUGCUGGAACUGCCAGGGCAAAGGUAAGUUGAGGCUGCCUCAGGCUGUG